rnacentral:lncRNA from 1 species
GGAAUUUUAAAAUGAAAUAUGUGUAUUAAAAAGGUCAAAUGCGGAAGCGUAAUAAAAUUUUUUAUUAACAUCCCUUACACUAAAAUCAAAAACGUGCUCAAAGUAUAAAAGAACAAACUAACUAAAAGAGAAACUCGAAAAUAAAAGCUAUAAAUAUAACUACGGAGUCUUCAGGCGUCCCCUUCGCCGUCUUCCUGCGGAACAGGCUCGGGAACAAUGUCUUCCUCAUCUGAAAUGAUUAAAUAAGGAAUGAGCUACACCAGCCCAGUAAAGACAUCACACUAUCUCACCGUCACGGAGGUAAAGGUGGGUAGAAAAUACAAAAGACCAAUGGAGCAUAAUUUACAACAAAUUCUUUUAUCAAUAAUAAAAUCCUUUACUAUCCACUUAUCUCGGUGAAGUUCAUAAAACAAUAUACGAAAGAAAUAACAUUAUCAUCAUCAUGAAAUCAUAUGAACUGUAUAACAUAAUACUUAUCACGCCUUUUGCAUUUCAAUCAUUACACAACAUAUUUUUCCUCAUUUACCAGCCUACUAGUAUCCAUGGGGAUCCAUAGGGGUCCCGCUACCCGUGAACCCUUAACACUUGUAAUCAGAUUCCAGGGCCGUCCCCAUACCCCGUCUGGUAUGGGCGCAAAAACUAUAAACCUCAAUACCCCGUCCGGUAUGAGGGUGAAACGGGCCGUCCCCAUACCCCGUCCGGUAUGGGCGCCAAAACACAUAAGGUCUCCAUACCCCGUCCGGUAUGAGAGAUCACAAUCCCGGUAGGGUUCCCUACGGACCCGGUCCGUCCACCAUCUCCCAGGAUAUCUAGUCAGACUGACCACAUUAUACAAUUAUCAAUUUACAUAACCUUUUAUUCCUCUUUUUCCUCAGUCAGCAUCAUCAAAUCACACACAAACAAGCAAACCAGUAAUUUAUGCCAAACAAGAAAACAUACAACAUCGGGUUCUCAGUCAUUCAACCCAUAAUCAAUAGAACAGUGAUAUAUGCACACGAAACUAUGAAAUGAAAAUAUCAGACCUCAUACUGCAUUUAAAACUGUAAAAUAGGCCAAAUAACAGCUGACCGACAAACACACCAGACUCGGGCUCCAUUAGCGACCUUAAACAAUUUCACACAUCUGUUGAUUCAUGAAAUACCGUUUUAUCAUUUAUUGAACUUUAAUACCGUGAUAGGAAAUAGGGUGAGGGGUCCUUACUUGUUUUGGGGUCUGAAUACGGCUCUACAGUGCGCCUACAGGCUGUCCCUAAUUUUUCCUGAAUUUUUUCUGGGAAACUGAAACGCACUAUUGGUACCUGCACGUGUCCCAAAAAAAUUCCAAAUUAGAUCCAGGGCCCCUUUCAGCCAAUAUCGCAAUUCCGGCACGGCGGCGAUUCGCCUCGGGUUGGCCGUUUUCGGCCAAAUUCGGCCACACUUGCAUUGGUCCUGCGAUAAACACCCUAGGCCCUUGGGGGGCCAAAAAAUUACGAAAAACUGAAGCUUACCGGCGGCGGUGCUCUCGGGUGCGGCGGCUCUCCGGCGAGGUUCGUGUUUUAGUGAUUUGGCUUCGAUCAACCUGUAGAGAAAAGAAUGGAGAUCACGGUGAUAUAAAAAUUGUAUCAAACGGAGGCCGGGAAGGGCCUCAUCGGAGACCAAAACCGAGGAGGGGCACGGCGGCGCCGCUGGAUUUCGGCCAUGUUUUUCAGCCGUUUGGCCGGGAGUUUGGCUCCGAUUUGGCCAUAGGGGAACUUAGCAUUGAAAAACGAGCCGGGAGUAUGAAAUUUACCUCGAUCGGAGGUCGAAAAACUCCCCGGUGCGGCGGCGGGUGGCGGCGGGUGGCUCCUCCGGCGUCUGGUUCGUCUUCUCCAGCGAGGGCUGGCGGCUAG